rnacentral:rRNA from 1 species
UACGGAGGGGGUUAGCGUUGUUCGGAAUUACUGGGCGUAAAGCGCACGUAGGCGGAUCAGAAAGUUGGGGGUGAAAUCCCGGGGCUCAACCCCGGAACGGCCUCCAAAACUACCUGGUCUUGAGUUCGAGAGAGGUGAGUGGAAUUCCGAGUGUAGAGGUGAAAUUCGUAGAUAUUCGGAGGAACACCAGUGGCGAAGGCGGCUCACUGGCUCGAUACUGACGCUGAGGUGCGAAAGUGUGGGGAGCAAACAGGAUUAGAUACCCUGGUAGUCCCUGAGCGGGCU